CAUCCAGAGAACUUUCCAGAGAUGGAUGGUGCCUUCGGGGAACUUUGGAGACAGGUGCUGCAUGGCUGUCGUCAGCUCGUGUUGUGAAAUGUUGGGAUAAGUCCCGCAACGAGCGCAACCCUUAUCCUUGUUUGCCAGCACGUAAAUGGGGGGAACUCCAGGGAGACUGCCGGUGAUAAACCGGAGGAAGGUGGGGACGACGUCAAGUCAUCAUGGCCCUUACGAGUAGGGCUACACACGUGCUACAAUGGCGUAUACAGAGGGCUGCCAACCAGCGAUGGUGAGCGAAUCCCAGAAAGUACGUCGUAGUCCGGAUUGGAGUCUGCAACUCGACUCCAUGAAGUCGGAAUCGCUAGUAAUCGUGAAUCAGAAUGUCACGGUGAAUACGUUCCCGGGCCUUGUACACACCGCCCGUCACACCAUGGGAGUGGGCUGCACCAGAAGUAGAUAGCUUAACCUUCGGGAGGGCGUUUACCACGGUGUGGUUCAUGACUGGGGUGAAGUCGUAACAAGGUAACCAAGGG
rnacentral:rRNA from 1 species